rnacentral:rRNA from 1 species
CCCUUAGAUGUUCUGGGCCGCACGCGCGCUACACUGACGAAGUCAGCGAGCAUGUCCUACGCCGACAGGUGCGGGGAAUCUUGUCAAACUUCGUCGUGAUGGGGAUUGAUUAUUGAAAUUCUUGAUCAUCAACGAGGAAUUCCUAGUAAGCGCAAGUCAGCAGCUUGCGUUGAUUACGUCCCUGCCCUUUGUACACACCGCCCGUCGCUACUACCGAUUGAACGGUUUAGUGAGAUCUUCGGAUUGGCGCCACUGCGGCUCAGCAAUGGGCUCGGUGGAUGCCGAAAAGUUGAUCAAACUUGAUCAUUUAGAGGAAGUAAAAGUCGUAACA